rnacentral:misc_RNA from 1 species
GAUGAAGAACGCAGCGAAAUGCGAUAAGUAGUGUGAAUUGCAGAAUUCAGUGAAUCAUCGAAUCUUUGAACGCACAUUGCGCCCUUUGGUAUUCCUUAGGGCAUGCCUGUUCGAGCGUCAUUUAAACCUUCAAGCUCAGCUUGGUGUUGGGUGACUGUCCGCUUCACCGCGGACUCGCCUCAAAAUUAUUGGCGGCCGGUACAUUGGCUUCGAGCGCAGCAGAAACGCGAACUCGGGCCCGUCGUAUUGGCUCCCAGAAGCUAUCUUCACAAUUUUGACCUCGGAUCAGGUAAGGAUACCCGCUGAACUUAAGCAUAUCAAUAAGCGGAGGA